GUUCAGCACUGAAUCAAGAUUAAUGUAACAGUGUCGUGUGCAGAGAUUCAGACUCCUGUGGGGUUUGUGUACGUGAUUCUGUCUGUUUUACUGAAUCACACUGAUGAUCCUGACUGUGAGCAGAGCUGGUAUUCACAGGACGGGUGUCUGAUAGCAGAUCCAUCAGAUCCUCAAACACUGAUUGAUCCUGUUAUUUCUGUCUCUCCUGAUCGUCUUGUCACGUCUCAGUGUGUGAAUCUGAAUCAUGAGAUCAUCUGUCACGCUUUAAGAGGAAAUCAACUCAAUCACUCAACAUUCAUCUGUUUAAUAUUAAAUGAAUAUUAUAAAUGCUGCUCUAAUUCUCUCUCUCAUGUCAGACUCAUUUCAGACUGGAGACCGUGUUCAGAGAUCCUGGUGUUUGAUGUCGUGUUCGUGUUGUUCCUGCCUUGCUUUUUCGCCGUACUGCUUUCUGUCGGAUCCUGUCUUCACGCACGGAAUACACUCACCACCAUUGGAGUAUCACCACUGUCAUCGUCAUCAGCGCACUCUACGUCUCAACUCACCCGUCUGUGCUGCCAUCGUGGUUCCUGCGUCACUCUCCGGCCUUCCAUCAUCUCAUCCUAUCAAUAAACUUCCUUGUACUUGCAUUUGUCUCCUGUCCUCCAUCGCCACCGUCACAGUCUAUGUGCCUGAUAACU